rnacentral:rRNA from 1 species
GAUGAACGCUGGCGGCGUGCCUAAUACAUGCAAGUCGAGCGAACAGAUAAGGAGCUUGCUCCUUUGACGUUAGCGGCGGACGGGUGAGUAACACGUGGGUAACCUACCUAUAAGACUGGGAUAACUUCGGGAAACCGGAGCUAAUACCGGAUAAUAUUUCGAACCGCAUGGUUCGAUAGUGAAAGAUGGUUUUGCUAUCACUUAUAGAUGGACCCGCGCCGUAUUAGCUAGUUGGUAAGGUAACGGCUUACCAAGGCGACGAUACGUAGCCGACCUGAGAGGGUGAUCGGCCACACUGGAACUGAGACACGGUCCAGACUCCUACGGGAGGCAGCAGUAGGGAAUCUGCCGCAAAGGGCGAAAGCCUGACGGAGCAACGCCGCGUGAGUGAUGAAGGUCUUCGGAUCGUAAAACUCUGUUAUUAGGGAAGAACAUACGUGUAAGUAACUGUGCACGUCUUGACGGUACCUAAUCAGAAAGCCACGGCUAACUACGUG